UGUGUGUGUGUGUGUGCCUGUAUGCAUGUGUGGCAAAAAGUGGCACUUUUAGUGUGUUCUUUGCAGAUAUAUUUUUUGCAGUUGAAGCACAAUGGGCAUCAUUCAUCAAC